UACAGAGGUCUCAAGCGUUGUUCGGAUUCAUUGGGCGUAAAGGGUGCGUAGGUGGCGCUGUAAGUCAGGUGUGAAAUUUCGGAGCUUAACUCCGAAACUGCAUUUGAUACUGCGGUGCUCGAGGACUGGAGAGGAGACUGGAAUUUACGGUGUAGCAGUGAAAUGCGUAGAUAUCGGGAGGAACACCUGUGGCGAAAGCGGCGCACUGGACCACAACUGACGCUGAGGCGCGAAAGCUAGGGGAGCAAACAGG
rnacentral:rRNA from 1 species